UACGUAGGGUCCGAGCGUUGUCCGGAAUUACUGGGCGUAAAGAGCUCGUAGGUGGUUUGUCGCGUUGUUCGUGAAAACUCACAGCUUAACUGUGGGCGUGCGGGCGAUACGGGCAGACUUGAGUACUGCAGGGGAGACUGGAAUUCCUGGUGUAGCGGUGAAAUGCGCAGAUAUCAGGAGGAACACCAGCGGCGAAGGCGGCGCUCUGGGCCGGUACUGACGCUGAGGAGCGAAAGCGUGGGGAGCAAACAGG
rnacentral:rRNA from 1 species